ACUUUUCCCUCAAAACUUUUACUCCUUCCCACUUUCCCCCCAAAACUUUUACUCCCCUCCCCUCCUAACCCCCCAAUCUACCCAAAAUCCAUUUCCCACCAAAAUUUUACUCUCCCAUUUAUUUUUUCUCAAAAUUUUACUCCCAAAAACCCUCAAAACCUUUUAUUUUCUCCCAAAAUUUUUACUCUCUCCCACUUUUCCUCUAAAACUUUUAUUCCCUUCCCAUCCCACCUCCCAUCUACCCCAAACCCUCCCCC
rnacentral:lncRNA from 1 species